CUGCAACAUUGCUAGUCAGAAAUGUGAUUUAGAAAGAGCUUUUAGACUGGAUACUCUGUGUUGUCAGGUCUUGUGCUCCACCGAUGUCCUAAAUUAGAGAACUAGAAAUGUUAAAGACUACAUUCAAACCUAUGCUCUUUAAAAUCUGUAGUGCAUGAUAGCAUUUAUUGCCUUUUUGUACUUUUGAUACUCUUGUUCCAUGGCUACAAAUCCAACAAUUUCAUCACUCUAAAAGAAAUACUUUCUUUUAUCUGUUUUUAAAUUCAUCUCCUUAAAUUUUCACUCCUAAAUUAAUGUCCUCCCUUUUGUGUUUGCAGGAUUUGGUAAACUGUUCUGCUGUCAUCUUGCCCAACUGUUCUCCAGUAGAUUUCAUUAUUUUUCUUGGUAAAGGAAGUGCUUCCUGUCCUUAGUCAUUUAGUUGUCCCAAGGCUCUUUGUUGUCCAUGGCACUGCCUAUCUGCCCCUGUCCUAGUCUCAAUGCUUCCCAAGCCCAUCUCAGAAAUCUUGCAACCUCCAGCCAGAAAUGGAUGAGGCUCCAUGGACUGCAUGCCGCAGUGGCACAGAGGAGCGCAGAUGAGAAGGGACUUGCUGCAGCAAAUGUUCAGCCAUUCCUGUUUUCAUAAGCAGAGGAAAAGAAAAUACAGGAAAGGGAGGAUGUGGAAAAGAGGACAUUCCAUUGGGGAAAAAGAAAAAAGGUUAAGGUAAAUCUUUGGCCUGGUGAAAGGCCAAAGAUGGAUCUGCAGAUAAGUGAAAGGAGUCUGUGGUUAGGUAGUGGAAAGCAAAACCAACAGACUGAGACAGAAAAAGAGGAGAUGCUGGGAGAAGUGAGAGGUUUUAAUAGAACUAGGCAAAAUGAGGAAAAAGAGAAAUUAAAAGAAAGAUACAAAGGGAGCUCAAAGAUUUUGUCUUUCCAAAAUAAAAUAUUUUUUGAAAGAAAAAUGUAACUAAUCCAAAUGAGAGUGGAGCAAUUUGUAGAUGGAGAAGUGCCAAAUAUAAUGAAAUACAGUGAGGAAGAAGGAAAAUAUAAAAAUGAAAGGAAGCGGAAAAGGGGAGGGGGGGCACCCUACAUUACUUCUAUUUUUCCAAUUCCUUUGUUUUAUCAUAUGUCCUUGGGAAAACAGUUUAUCGUGAUAAAAGAAUUUAUGUCUAACAAUGGCAUAUCCUCUGCUUUUACUCACUGGUACUAUUAUUGUACUUGGGCUAGACCAGUGACCUCCAAAAGUUUUUGAUCAUGCACCUCUAUCAGUAAGAUCUUUUGGAGCACGCACCCAUAAUAGAGGCAUAUAUAUUUGUUCAUAAAUUGUAUACACAUACAAUUCUAUUAAUGUAUUAUGUACAUUAUAAAACAUUUACCAAAAUAGGAAUUAAAACAAUGUGAGAUAAAAAUGAAACAAACACCCACUAUUUUGAAAAAUUUUAUUUAUUUUAUUUAUUUUAUUUUAUUUUAUUUUUAUUUUUAAUUUUAUUUAUUUGUUAAUGCUAGAACCCAUAUUUCUUCACUCCAGCAGAUUGUCUGGGACAUAUCCUGAGCUAUACAUUUCCCUGCCACACAUAUACUUUGGAGAGCACUGGACUAGACCCUAAUGCAAAGUCUAAAGCUUUGUGAU